rnacentral:rRNA from 1 species
GACGAACGCUGGCGGCGUGCCUAACACAUGCAAGUCGAGCGGGGUUGAAGCGAGAGGUAACUCGAACUUCUACCUAGCGGCGGACGGGUGAGUAACGCGUGGGCAACCUGCCUCAAGGUCUGGGAUAACAGCCCGAAAGGGCUGCUAAUACUGGGUAUGCUUGUGGCCUCGCAUGGGGCUAUGAGCAAAGGGGAAACCCGCCUUGAGAUGGGCCCGCGUCCCAUCAGCUAGUUGGUGAGGUAACAGCUCACCAAGGCGACGACGGGUAGCCGGCCUGAGAGGGUGACCGGCCACACUGGGACUGAGACACGGCCCAGACUCCUACGGGGGGCAGCAGUGGGGGAUCUUGCACAAUGGGCGAAAGCCUGAUGCAGCGACGCCGCGUGAGCGAAGAAGGCCUUCGGGUUGUAAGCUCUGUCUGGAGGGACGAAGGAAGUGACGGUACUCCGGAGGAAGCCACGGCUAACUACGUGCCAGCAGCCGCGGUAAAGUCACGUCG